rnacentral:rRNA from 1 species
GACCGAGAAAUUAAGUCAUAUUAAGAAUGGUAAAAAGACAGUUAGACAUAGUAUUAUUAAUCUAAAGUUUAUUUGAUUUUCUUAUAAAAAAGUAAAAUUUGUAUAUGAGAAUAUAAUUUAGUUAAAAACUGUAAAGUUGAAUCUGUGAUAUCCUGGAGGGAAACUGGGAUUAGAUACCCCACUAUUCCUGGAUGUAAAUCAAAUCUAAAUUUACCAGAGUACUAUGAAUAAUAUAAAAUUUAAAACUCAAAGGACUUGGCGGUGUUUUAGACCAUUUAGGGGAACCUGUCUCAUAAUCGAUAGUCCACGUCAUACCUAACCUUUUUUUGUCUUCAGCUUGUAUAUCGUUGUCGUCAGGUAACUUUUUAGAAACUAGAAGUUAGCUAAAAAUAGUAAAUUUAAACGUCAAAUCAAGGUGCAGUUAAUAAAAAGGGUGUAGAUGGGUUACAAUUAUUUUAGUUAUAAUUACGGAAAAUCAUAGGAAUCAGUGAUUCGAAGGAGGACUUAAAAGUAAAUUAGAUUAUAUAAAUAAUUUGAAUAAGGCUCUGAAAUGUGC